rnacentral:ncRNA from 1 species
GAAAGCCGUAUACAUCGAGAAAUGUACGUACGGUUUGGAGGAAAGUACACGAAAACCUAACAUAGUAAUAUGUCAAGGCGUCGGGUGCUCAUCCUAC